rnacentral:lncRNA from 1 species
GAGAGGAAUAAGGAUUCUAAAAACAGGAAAAUGGUAAAUGCUUUGUAAGUCAGUAAAGGCUCACAGCCAGUUUCAUGUCCUUUGUAAAGAAACUGUUACGUAUGACUUGGGAGGAUUUAGCUGUGAAAUUGCUUGAGAGCCGGAAUUUGAUCUGAGACAGGCAGCCUAGAUUUAUGGGAGGAGACACGCCCGCAGUUGUGAUGGAGAUUUUAAAAGAUGUUGUACUCACAGCAGAAGAUGAGGCUGCUUUGUGCAGCCUGCCUCUGUGAAGAAUCUGGUAAUGCUCUGUUUAAAGAUUUAUUCUGAAGGUGAGAAGUGGGAAAAGACACGAGAAGCAAUAUCGAGUCUCCAGAACCCAGCGUCUUCAUGCGGACGCUCACGCCUGCCUCACUGGCGGCAAAGUCGAGACGACUCGUUCAUUGUCCCCCUCGCCGCGCACAGAGCCUCGCCUGGAGCAGGGCCUUGCUCGUGGAUUAAUACGUGCACAGGCUGACGGAUGACCUCCGUGUCACCAACACCUGUUUAAGCAGGAAGUCUAAGCAGUGAGGAAUGAGUCCUACGUGUUGCUAAAACCAGCCUCCUUCCCCUUCC